rnacentral:ncRNA from 1 species
GUCAGCACCUCGGGGGGCCUGACAACAGGCUGAGAUGCUUCAAAGCGACCCGUUGAACCUGAACCGGUUAAGACCGGCGGAGGGAAGGUGCGAUGUCCGCGG